UAUGAUUAUGUAUACAUAUAUAUGUAUAUAUACACAAUCACGGCGAUACGCGUGACGAGCUUCUUUCGUGUGUGCGUGUGUAUGUAUAGGUUGGGUUGUACGUGCAACGUCCGCUAGAUACUGCAUAAUUAACGUAGCGAAGCAAGAUGGCGUCGAUAUAACGCACGCUUCGAAAUAAGAGACCCGUAUCGUUAAAAAGAAUAAAAGAAAAAAAAAAAAAAAAAAGCGCGCGGUAAUUGAUUUCGCAGGCACGUCUCCUUCAUCUAUUCUUUCACAAGCAAAGCUAUUUCCUCUAACCUAUGUUUCUAUCUUCUAUUCCUUCUUGAGUAUCACCCUGUACAACACGCAGCCGCAUAUAUACGAAGUUGAAUCGUACGUUUGCGCGCCGUGUGCCGAUACGUUUUACUAAAACGACGACACACAUAUGCCGUCACACAUAUAUAUAUACACAGAUUAUAUAUAUGUAUUCGUAUAAACGUGCAAGCAAGGAGGCAUCGGUCGUGAAAAGGAAGAACGGUACGAGCAAGAGGGAGGAAAGAAAGAAAGAAAGAAAGAGAAAGAGAAAUAAAGAAAUAAAGAAAUAAAGAAAGAACGAAGAAGAGCGAAGCGAGGAGUCGGCUGUUGCCGGCUGCUCCCCUCUUCGGUUCCCCCACUCCUGAACAGCCGGCAACGGAGCCGUCAGGAAGUUUUCACGCCGCCGGUACUCCCUCCCAAUCGAGUAACGUUAGCCGAGUAUAACCGAAUAUUACCGAACGUGAGCGAGCACGCUGCCUCCCCUUCCUAUUCCACGGCGUCGGUUUAUCCCUCCUCUCUAUCCUUCUCGCUCGUUUGUUCUUUCUCUCUCAGAUUCUCCCGGCGUGCUGCGCGCUACUCGUGUGCUCCGAAGUUUCAACGUCGCCUGAAAACGUUACUACCUCGAGACACGAGAGAGAGAAACACGACGACGAGUUUGAAAGCCGUAUAUCCUUCUGUGUGUGUCCUCCUCCGUAUUAAAUAAAGAACCGCGCGUACAAAGGAAGAAAAAAAAAAAAAGAAAGUAAUAAAUAAGUAUUCAUAGUGGUGAAAAAAAAAUCUAUUGUGCGACCUAGUGGUGUUCGCAAAUUUGUUCAUCUCGUCUCAUCGAAUCCUAUGACUGCUCCUGCAUACCACCUUUUCAUCGUACGAUUUUUGUGUGCUCUGUGGUAAAAAGAA